rnacentral:rRNA from 1 species
AUGACUUCAUUGACUGACAGAUUUACCGAUGAUCAGAAGGGAGCUGCUGCUGAGAUGGGUAUGCAGGCUCUGAUGAAUGUCCGGUGCAUGAAUCUAGUCAACCCUAUAUGCGACUGGCUUGGUGAGAUUUACGACCCCGCCUCCAGGGAAUUUGUGAUUCCGGGACAUGGAAGACUGCCGUUGAAUGAGGAAUCCGUGUUCUGCACUUUGGGUGUGCCCCGUGGACAAAUCAAAGUCCCGUAUGAGGUCAAUAACAAGAUCGAGGAAGCGUUGUUCCCCCGUUUGUUUCCUGGGUUGGAAUCCAUGCCGAACACGUCUGUACUGGCAGAUUCACUGCAAGCCAUGAGAACCCAUGGCGAGGUUUUUAAGAUGAAACUACUCAUGUACCUCAUCUCAGCCAUUUUCGCGCCGACCACUUCUCUUCGCCCAAGCAACAAAUGCUUCCCCAUCCUGGCGAAACUGAAAGAUGUGAAGAACAUGAAUUGGUGUAAGUUCAUUGUCGACUUCCUGCAUGAUGCAUUCUCAAGCAAGAUGUACCAGAAGGGUUGUCGACUGCAUUUAAUGCUCAUGUACGUCGACUCGCUUGAUCUGUCCACCGUGGAUUUCACUGGGACAGGAGGCCCGCCGCCUAUGCAAAAGUUUGCUGUUUCUGCAUGGACUAUCGAUGCUGUCAAGGCUGUGCUUGCUGCAGAUAGGGUAACUGAUACCAAAUAUGGAAAACUGCAGCUGAUGGCCAAGCAUGCUAUAGACUACAGCGUGUUUGGGGGGCCUUAA